rnacentral:lncRNA from 1 species
GGAUGCCUCUAAUGACAAUAGAUUUCGACGGCUGUAACGGUACUCACCCGUUUUGCCUAGUAUAGCUCCCCUUUCCCCUCACGCAUUGAAGCCCUAACCCGCACCCUUCUCCAACUUUGUUGCUGCACCUCCACCUACAACCAUUGUCGGUGCUGACCCCGCUAGCCGAGAGGGAUGCCUCUGAUUCCAGCAGAUUCCGAUGG